rnacentral:rRNA from 1 species
UACGGGGGGGGCAAGCGUUGUUCGGAAUUACUGGGCGUAAAGGGCUCGUAGGCGGCCAACUAAGUCAGACGUGAAAUCCCUCGGCUUAACCGGGGAACUGCGUCUGAUACUGGAUGGCUUGAGUUUGGGAGAGGGAUGCGGAAUUCCAGGUGUAGCGGUGAAAUGCGUAGAUAUCUGGAGGAACACCGGUCGCGAAGGCGGCAUCCUGGACCAAUACUGACACUGAAAAGCGAAAGCCAGGGGAGCAAACGGG